rnacentral:snRNA from 1 species
GUGCUCGUUUCGCGGCACAUAUACUAAAAUUGGAACGAUAAAGAGACGAUUAGCAUGGCCCAUGCACAAGGAUGACAUGCAAAUUCGUGAGGCAUUCCAUUUUUUA